GCCUCUAUAGCUCAGUUCUGGUUAGAGCGCCAUCUUGGUAAGGUGGAGGUCCCGGGUUCGAAUCCCGGUAGAGGCU
rnacentral:tRNA from 1 species